GAACCCAUAUACGAUUGUAAGAAUAGUGAAUAGUCGUGCUAGGGCUUGGUGAAGUGAAGAAUGGGAUAAAAAUGUGAACUAGUGCUAUUCUUUGCAUCACAACUUCUCUGAUAGAGGUGAAACUUUCCAUCACCUAUUGUACAAAGAUGGAAAGAAAUGCCAUGACCAUCUUUCUGCUCUUUGGUUACCCUGCUGGUUUGUUAUAUUCUAUCCUAAACUUCUUUGUUUUAAUGAAAUUUUUCUGAUACCUAAGAGCUCAGCAGUUCAGUUACCGUAGUUUCAGACAUCGUGCUACAUAUCCAUACCUAGACUUGUUGUAUUGUUAAACCUUAGAUCUGUCAUUUGUUGCAUUGUUUACUUAAAGCCUAGACCUGUUGCAGGAUGCUUGUGGAAUGCAUACUUCAGUUGUAGAGUUCAGUUGCUUCAUUUAGUGACCAUUAUUUUAGAAAGAACUUGAUCAGAUACUUUGUUGCUCCAUUAUUUACAAUAUACCUAGCUUGUUAUCCUUACGCUUCACAAAGGUAUAUUUUAUUGUUUUAUCAGAGCAGCGAAGACUUCAAUUCUGUCUGAUCUAAUAAGGAAAAAAAAUGCUCAAGAAAUGAAAUGGAUUAUGAUGAUAAUUCUGAAAGAUAUGAAGUUGGGAAUUAGUGAAAAGAGCAUCUUUCACGAAUUCCAUCCAGAUGCAGAGGACUUGUUCAAUGUCACAUGCGAUUUAAAACUAGUUUGUGAAAAGUUGAGGGACAGAAGUCAACGGCAUAAACGCCAGGUUCAUUUCUUUUUGCAGAGUGCGCACUGGAGUUUCUGAUGAGGAACGCAAUACCAUAGUAACCCCAUAAAAGCCCUAUUUCAGGCAAUAUUUCUGUUUUCUGUUGUACCUUUUAUUCUUGCACUGUAAAGAAUGUUUUUUUUUAAAACUUUUGGCGAUGUCUGAGUUGCAACAGAUAUAAAUUUAGGCAUCGGUGUGUUUCUAGUCAGUGGACUUCUGGUUGUCCACUGCAUUAAUCUUUGUGAGAAAUAAAGGAGAGAAGUAUUAUUGCAU